GUAUCCAGUAGCUGGGAACAGCACGCGACCAUCGAUCGUGUGGCCAAACAGGUGUUACGGGUAUUUCCAUCCCUGUACAUGUUUAUGUGAGAACGCCUGCAACUGCUGUGACAUAGUCCGCACGUCUGGUGUGGGACGCAUUUUUUUCCCCCUACGAUUCAGCUUUCCCGUUCAAGAAGAUGCGAGAGAGGUUCCCGGAACACUACUCCGUGGGACCCACCUUGUCGAACGAGAAGACGGUCCACUCCUCCGAGUGGUCCCAGUCCACCAGGGGGGCGAUCAUUGGGGUCCCCCGGGACACGGGUCAUGAGCCCGAUGACUGUGCAAGUCUCCGGCAGGGACCGGCUGAGAAUGCUCUCGGAGAAGCCGGGCGCCGGCACCUGGACGACCACCGAGUCGCCUGGGAUGCGCUCCGCGGCUUCCCGGACCAGCAGCGGGGAGGCCAGGCCGCUGGCGAGGCGAGCGGCCGGCGAGUCCCGUCUGGCCGCCGGGACGGAGGAGUUGGGGUCGGGGUGAGGCAACACCUGCGCGUCACAUCACUCAUGUCUGCACACAUCUCAUGUGCAGCCCGAGACAAGCCCAGACGCAUCACCAGUGCACUGUUUAAAA